rnacentral:rRNA from 1 species
GAACUGAGGGGGGCUGCUCCUAGUACGAGAGGACCGGAGUGGACGCAUCACUGGUGUUCGGGUUGUCAUGCCAAUGGCACUGCCCGGUAGCUAAAUGCGGAAGAGAUAAGUGCUGAAAGCAUCUAAGCACGAAACUUGCCCCGAGAUGAGUUCUCCCUGACUCCUUGAGAGUCCUGAAGGAACGUUGAAGACGACGACGUUGAUAGGCCGGGUGUGUAAGCGCAGCGAUGCGUUGAGCUAACCGGUACUAAUGAACCGUGAGGCUUAACCUUACAACGCCGAAGCUGUU